AUUCCACGUGUCUUUUAAUCAUCUUUCUUUAUUCACUUUCAGUAAAUAUUUUUUCCCAGCCUUGCAAAGAACCUUUUAGUUCUCUUCAUCUUCUUGAAGUUUCUUUUGAUCUUCUCCGAUGUGUUCUGUAAUCUUAGAGUUCCAGGUUGGGUCUUCUUCCGUCUCCUGUGGCUGUUAGUCGCCAUCCGAAUAGCUUCGAGUUUACAGGAUGAGCACGAGACGUUUGCUGCCUUGAAGACUCCUCCUAUUAUGUCUUACUUUUUCUAUUCUGAGACAUAGAUAGAUUUGAUGUUUAUUAUAUUCCAUACGUGUAUAUGUUCACUUAGAUGCUCUUGUAUGGCUUAGACCAGACCCUGGGGUAUUUCGUUAUUUCGACACUAUUCUAUUAUCUAUUAUUGUAAGACUUACGUGAUUAUUCUCUUCCACUUGAUUGAUUAA